GGGGCUGUGGCUCAGUGGUAGAGCAGCUGCUUGGCAUGCAGAUGAUCCCAGGUUCAAUCCCAGGCAUCUCCA
rnacentral:tRNA from 1 species